GUUAAGACUUUUUUUUCAGUGAUUAGAAACUCACAAUUAGAAUUAGAAUCGCCGCAGACCGCGCUCGGCAGCUGUAAUUUCCUUCUGUAAUUGUGCCGUCUCACCCAUAAUGGAAGAAGAAGGAUUACAUCGCUAGAAAGAAAGAAGAGGCGAUUCCUACUGGAAGAUCACCUACCGGAAGUCCGGACAUGCAGAAUGCGAUGGAAGACGAGAGUUCCCGGCCACCAGAGGAACCAGUUGGGGGCAUAUAUUCCCGAGCGAACUGGUGGAGGAAGCUGCUAGGACAUUCUGCGUCAGCCCGGGGAAAUUAGGGGCCAUAGGCGAAAAGGGAACCCUGGGAGAAUUGUAUUACGCGCUCUAAAGCGCAAGGAUUCGCGGCAUGCGCGGAUAGCGUGGUUGACAGGAGCCAAUCGGCGUGACGGCCCCCUGAGGGAGGAGGGGGAGAAUGGCCUGCGUGAAUCCGCAAAGAGCUCCCGGGUCUCACUCGUUUGUGGCUCAGUCGAUAGACGAGGAUGUGCGACUCCACUAUCGACGAGCAUUCUUGAAGAUUUUGAAUAUUACUACCGAGAGGAGAGUUGUCGUAAGGGAUUGCGGAAGGAUCCUGUCCCAGAAGGUGAGACGAGCGUCGUCGUCACUACUAUAAAGCUGCCAAUCUGGGUUCGUAAUUUCAGGUGGAGCGCACGUGGAAAAGCUCGCAUCGCGGAAAGCGGUCAGUUUAAUGGUCUCUGUAUAGAGUCAUGAAAUUGCGAGACACGUGCCAUCCUUCCAAGCAUUGUGAUUAGGUGAAAUAUUAGUUGUCGAGUCGCGCUCGCCUCUCUUGCCUCUCGUCAUUUUAGGUUUUCGUUUUAUAUUAUAUCGUUUGUGCUGAUGUGAUUGUGUCGCGCUUAAUGUUCGAUUUCACAUCAGGGUGUUACCCUCCCGAGUAGCGUGCAUUACUUUGGGUGCGAUUUCUGUCGCGUUGUUUUGCUAAUAAUCGGUUGUUGUUCAUCAGUUAUCUGCGAAGAUGACCGUGAAAAGAAGUCAGAGCUCGUAGUCUAGAGUACAUUGUCAUCCGGCGUUAAAAGUAAGUCGUCGUUGUCUUUAGUGAAAAUAAAUUAUAUCGAGUUCAACGGAGGGAGCGGAGCUCCGGAGAUUGUAUGUAACCGAUUUGUAAAAUACAAUUGUUCUUUAUUUUAUUG